GUGAAUCAUCAAAUUUUUGAACGCAAAUUGCACUCUCCUCGGAGAGUAUGCCUGUUUGAGGGUCAGCCUAUAAAAAAUCGACAUCGCUGCUGUUUCACGGUGACGUUCGUCGGAAAUUGGUCAUCCUUAAUCUUUUUGGGUUUAGCGACUUAAAAUUUUCUUUUUUGUUUCAUGAACGUUUUUAAGGUUUUAUUCUUUACCCCUUUUAGGUUUU
rnacentral:misc_RNA from 1 species